rnacentral:rRNA from 1 species
AUUGAACGCUGGCGGCAUGCUUUACACAUGCAAGUCGAACGGUAACAGGGUGCUUGCACCGCUGACGAGUGGCGAACGGGUGAGUAAUGCGUCGGAACGUGCCGAGUAGUGGGGGAUAACGCAUCGAAAGGUGUGCUAAUACCGCAUACGUACUGAGGUAGAAAGUGGGGGACCUUCGGGCCUCACGCUAUUCGAGCGGCCGACGUCUGAUUAGCUCGUUGGUGAGGUAAAGGCUCACCAAGGCGACGAUCAGUAGCGGGUAUGAGAGGAUGAUGCUGCACACUGGGACUGGGACACGGCCCAGACUCCUGCGGGGGGCAGCAGUGUGGAAGUUUGGACAAUGGGCGAACGCCUGAUCCAGCCCUGCCGCGUGUCUGAAGACGGCCUUCGCGUUGUAAAGGACUUUUGUCAGGGAGGAAAUCCCUAGCGUUAAUACCGCUGGGGGAUGACAGUACCUGAAGGAUCAGCACCGGCUAACUACGUGCCAGCAGCCGCAGUAACAC